rnacentral:rRNA from 1 species
UACGAAGGGGGCUAGCGUUGUUCGGAAUCACUGGGCGUAAAGGGCGCGUAGGCGGCUUUAUAAGUCGGGGGUGAAAGCCUGUGGCUCAACCACAGAAUUGCCUUCGAUACUGUAGAGCUUGAGACCGGAAGAGGUAAGUGGAACUGCGAGUGUAGAGGUGAAAUUCGUAGAUAUUCGCAAGAACACCAGUGGCGAAGGCGGCUGACUGGUCCGUUUCUGACGCUGAGGCGCGAAAGCGUGGGGAGCAAACGGG